rnacentral:rRNA from 1 species
UCGAUUCCCUUAGUAGCGGCGAGCGAAACGGGAAGAGCCCAAACCAACAAGCUUGCUUGUUGGGGUUGUAGGACACUCUAUACGGAGUUACAAAGGACGACAUUAGACGAAUCAUCUGGAAAGAUGAAUCAAAGAAGGUAAUAAUCCUGUAGUCGAAAAUGUUGUCUCUCUUGAGUGGAUCCUGAGUACGACGGAGCACGUGAAAUUCCGUCGGAAUCUGGGAGGACCAUCUCCUAAGGCUAAAUACUCUCUAGUGACCGAUAGUGAACCAGUACCGUGAGGGAAAGGUGAAAAGCACCCCGGAAGGGGAGUGAAAUAGAACCUGAAACCGUGUGCUUACAAGUAGUCAGAGCCCGUUAAUGGGUGAUGGCGUGCCUUUUGUAGAAUGAACCGGCGAGUUACGAUUUGAUGCAAGGUUAAGCAGUAAAUGUGGAGCCGUAGCGAAAGCGAGUCUGAAUAGGGCGUUUAGUAUUUGGUCGUAGACCCGAAACCAGGUGAUCUACCCUUGGUCAGGUUGAAGUUCAGGUAACACUGAAUGGAGGACCGAACCGACUUACGUUGAAAAGUGAGCGGAUGAACUGAGGGUAGCGGAGAAAUUCCAAUCGAACCUGGAGAUAGCUGGUUCUCUCCGAAAUAGCUUUAGGGCUAGCCUCAAGUGAUGAUUAUUGGAGGUAGAGCACUGUUUGGACGAGGGGCCCCUCUCGGGUUACCGAAUUCAGACAAACUCCGAAUGCCAAUUAAUUUAACUUGGGAGUCAGAACAUGGGUGAUAAGGUCCGUGUUCGAAAGGGAAACAGCCCAGACCACCAGCUAAGGUCCCAAAAUAUAUGUUAAGUGGAAAAGGAUGUGGCGUUGCCCAGACAACUAGGAUGUUGGCUUAGAAGCAGCCAUCAUUUAAAGAGUGCGUAAUAGCUCACUAGUCGAGUGACACUGCGCCGAAAAUGUACCGGGGCUAAACAUAUUACCGAAGCUGUGGAUUGUCCUUUGGACAAUGGUAGGAGAGCGUUCUAAGGGCGUUGAAGCAUGAUCGUAAGGACAUGUGGAGCGCUUAGAAGUGAGAAUGCCGGUGUGAGUAGCGAAAGACGGGUGAGAAUCCCGUCCACCGAUUGACUAAGGUUUCCAGAGGAAGGCUCGUCCGCUCUGGGUUAGUCGGGUCCUAAGCUGAGGCCGACAGGCGUAGGCGAUGGAUAACAGGUUGAUAUUCCUGUACCACCUAUAAUCGUUUUAAUCGAUGGGGGGACGCAGUAGGAUAGGCGAAGCGUGCGAUUGGAUUGCACGUCUAAGCAGUAAGGCUGAGUAUUAGGCAAAUCCGGUACUCGUUAAGGCUGAGCUGUGAUGGGGAGAAGACAUUGUGUCUUCGAGUCGUUGAUUUCACACUGCCGAGAAAAGCCUCUAGAUAGAAAAUAGGU